UACAGAGGGGGCAAGCGUUAUUCGGAAUUAUUGGGCGUAAAGGGCGCGCAGGCGGUUCUCCGCAUCUCUGGUGAAAGCCCCGAGCUUAACUCGGGAGGGUCCAGGGGGAUGGGGGGACUUGAGGCAGGGCGAGGGCGGUGGAAUUCCGGGUGUAGUGGUGAAAUGCGUAGAGCUCCGGAGGAACACCAAUUGCGAAGGCAGCUCACUACACGGUCAUUGACACUGAGGCACGAAAGCGUGGGGAUCAAACAGG
rnacentral:rRNA from 1 species